rnacentral:snRNA from 1 species
CUGAUAGCGCUUAAGCGC